rnacentral:rRNA from 1 species
AUGGAGAAAAAAAGGUGGAACCACAAGAUAGAACCUUCACAAACCUCCUCACUUCUCACUGUCAACCACACCGAGCUCUGCAUCGAUGGCAUUGUGUGCGGUCUCGAGGUCUUCAUCAAGGAAAAUGUCCCAGUGCCCAUCCCAGCGGAUGAAGAACUCUGUGUCCUCCAAGUACUUGACACGGUGCACGUCCCCAGCAGGCGUGAACAGGAAGUCCCCAUCGACCAGGCCAUAGCUCUCCUUCUUGGUCAAGUUCCACACCUUCUUCUUGCCCUUGAUCACCACCAGGUCGUGGCCGAAGGUGUGGUGGUGGGCCGGCUCCACGCUUCCAGCUUUGAACCGCACGUAGGCCGAAGUCGGGCUCUCGCGCACAAUCCGCAUCUCGCCGCCGGGCAUGAUGUCCACCGGCUCGAACUCCAUCCCCUUCCUCAGGUAGCAGAUGGCGCAGGCGGAGUCCGGCGCAGGAGGGGCUGCCGGUCCCUCGGGGAUGGAGGCCAUCUCACCGGGGGCAGCAUCGAAGAACUUCUGAAUGUCCUCCGGCCAAGGGGCGUCGCCGGACGCGGGGCAGGGGGCGCGGAAGGGGGUGGCGAGCCAGGCGUCGGCGAUGGCGGCGGCGGCCUCGGGCGGGGUGGCCAUGCCGGAGAGGGCGAGGACGUUGCAGGCGUUGAUGGAGCGGGUGUUGACGGCGUCGGCGGCGGAGCCGCAGUGCGUGGCGUACACGCCGGGGUACUUGUUGGCGAAGAUGGCGACACCGGCGCCGGUGCCGCAGACGACGACGCCGCGGGCCUCGAGCGCUGGGUCAGGGGCCGAGGAGGAGACGCCGCGAGCGACGGCCGCGGCGGCGGAGUAGUACUUGUCGACGCCGAGGUCGACGACGUCGGCGACGGAGGAGUGGGCGCGGAGGUGCGCGACGACGGCGUCCUUGAGCGGCUCGCCGAAGCCGUCGGCGGCCGCGAAGAUCUUGAAGCGGCGGCUGCCGGCGGAGGCGGAGGCGGCCAUCGGCGAUAG